AGAUCAGAUGGACUAGAUGUGGUGUGUUUUGAGUCAAACCCUUUCGGAUGGAAGCCUUGGCAUUUACUGAGAAGUGUGCAUUACUGAUGUCUUCAACUCCUGAUGCUGUGGCACAGAAUCCUAAGCUUUAUCCUUGGCAGGCUGCUGAAGAUCACAUUGGCCUCCCACAGAAUGGUGGUGUCUCCUCACUGAUUUACACAGCAAGAUGGGGGAGCAGCUGUCUGUAUGGAUGACUACUGUGCAUCUCUUUUGUCCAAGACUCCACCUUCCUCUGGAAGGACAGUUCCAUGAUGGAUAAAUAUGGAGUACUACUAGAGGCAGAGAUUACUGCUGCUUCAUAGGAUAUCUGACCUUUUUCCAUUCCCUUGGGUAUGAGUACUUUUUCUAGUUUACCCUCCUAGGCUUUCUCAGAUCUACCUGAACAUCCUGCCAGCAUCCCAGCAGGAGUCAUCCUCUCAGAGACUUUCAGACUUCCUGUUGCAGCUAAAGUUCUGUUCUCUGAAUAAUUGACUGUGGGGAUUUCUCACACUCCUAAAUGUACCAGGCCAAUAUCGGUCACUUAACCACCGGCUGGAGUAGGAGUUACAGUGGUCUUUUGGAAUGAUGCUCCCUGUCCUCCCUUCUGCAGCAGGACCCCUCUGUGGGUCAAUAUGAAGAUAAGAUGGGGCUGAAGCCUCACCUCUUCCUUGUUCUGCUCCAUUCCACUUGGUGCACGGUGCACUGUUGUGGUGCCCUGCAGAAGCAGACUGUAAGUUCCCACGUGUGCAUGGACUGCAAACGUGACAGGUCCUUGCACUGGUCACACAGGGGAGGAGGCUCACCGUGUGUUACCCCAGUGCACCUGUGUAAGCAUCUGUCACAGUCUGGCCAAGAAACAUCAGAGACAAGCUCUUGGAGAAUACUUAGAUUGGGUUGGGUGCUUAUUUAAUAGGAAGCAAUUACUGGAACUACAUAUGGAAACCAAGAAUUUGUGCAAGCAAAUGGCCAGUUAGGUAUUUAAUUACACUUCUAUAAACAUACAUUUUGUACAUACAUUAAUUAUGCACACACCAUUAUGGACAUAAUUGUGUUCACAUUAUUUGUCAGGCCAUUUGUGUUUGGGUCUUUGUACUUUGAAUUUUCAAGAUUCUAAUGAUCUUCUAAUUGCACUUGAUUGUGGUGGAGAGAAACUUAUCUUCCCCCUACAAAGUUUCUAUUUCUAUUACUAUUCAUUUUAUUUAAAGCUUCUUCUGCCAUCUGUCUUAAAAUCUUUGUUCCUUGCUGUGAAUAUUAAAAUAUAUUUAUGUUUUAUAGGGACUUAAGUUCUUUUCAUCAUUACAUCUGGAUUAAAGUUGGUUGGACAUCUUCAGAGGUCUUGAGAUAAGACUGUUUUUAUGGACAAGAGACCUGGGAGCUUUUUGGAAUAAAGACCUUAGUGACAUUACCUGAUGUCAAUUUACAAAGACUGUUGAUUAUUCACAAAACGAUUGUCACUAUUCCUUUCAGAUAAAAAUAUUUGAUAUUUAAUUAUAUAAUUUAUUGUUAAUUUAUUAAUUAAUUGAAAAAUUACCUGUCCUUAAAAUGAAAGAUAACCAUGUGUAUUCUCUCUUGCUGCCUUUUUUCCAUCCCAGGAGUCUAAUAUAUUUACCAGUAUAGUGGAGACACUUCAACAUAACAGUUUGAUUAAUGGGUCUUUUUCUGCAAUGGGUUGGCAAAUACAUUUGUCCCAUGUAACACUGAAUCACAGAAGAAAGAUAGCUAUAGAAAAGACAUAUUAUGGCAUCUAGCCCAUUCCCUACCAGAACAGGCUGGUUCUAAAUGCUGUGGCAAGAUCCUCAGCAAGUGUAAAAUGUCAUACCUCUACAGAAGUCAAUGGAACUACAAAAAUAUAUGCCAGAUGAGUGGCUUGUCCUGUAUAUUUUAAUCAAGAAAAAAUGUUCUAAAAACAAUGUACUGUAUUUAAUGUACAUUAUGGA